rnacentral:pre_miRNA from 1 species
UGGACAAAUUAUUGUAUUCGACUGUAUUCACGACAUGAAAUAGGGGAUUACACUGUUUUUAAACAGAAAGCGAAUCAAUUAACAUAAUAGACUCCU